UUCCCGGCCGGAGCGGGGCGCACUCGCGCCAGGUCUGCCCGGCUUCCGGAGCCUAGAGGACCGCGCCCCCUGGAGUCCCCAGCCCUCCAGCCUGCUAUGCUUCCAAACCUUUUCUAAGAUGAGGUUUUGACUCCAAGAAUAAUCUUCUUUGGUGCCAUGCUGUGGGUUGUGGUCCCACCAGAAUUCCAGAAAUACAGCAAGCCGCCUUCACUGCAUCAUACUUCUGUCUUCACUGUGUCAGUGUAUUUGCUGAAAUGGUUAACUGGAUCCAGAAGUCAUGUGUUCAUAAUAUAUCUAGUAAAGUCCCACCAUACCCUUUCAAGAGCACACCUUUUGCAGUUUUUGCAGUAUGAUUAUGCCUAGAAUUCCCC
ensembl:lncRNA